GCUCACGUAGCUGACUGAGAGCUUUGUAUUGAAGAUGUGAAGACGGACCCACAUGAGGAUCCGAGAGCA
rnacentral:tRNA from 1 species